rnacentral:rRNA from 1 species
GACGAACGCUGGCGGCGUGCUUAACACAUGCCAGUCGAACGGAAAGGCCCUGCUUUUGUGGGGUGCUCGUGUGGCGAACGGGUGAGUAACACGUGAGUAACCUGCCCUUGACUUUGGGAUAACUUCAGGAAACUGGGGCUAAUACCGGAUAGGAGCUCCUGCUGCAUGGUGGGGGUUGGAAAGUUUCGGCGGUUGGGGAUGGACUCGCGGCUUAUCAGCUUGUUGGUGGGGUAGUGGCUUACCAAGGCUUUGACGGGUAGCCGGCCUGAGAGGGUGACCGGCCACAUUGGGACUGAGAUACGGCCCAGACUCCUACGGGAGGCAGCAGUGGGGAAUAUUGCACAAUGGGCGGAAGCCUGAUGCAGCAACGCCGCGUGCGGGAUGACGGCCUUCGGGUUGUAAACCGCUUUCGCCUGUGACGAAGCGUGAGUGACGGUAAUGGGUAAAGAAGCACCGGCUAACUACGU